GAUGAACGCUGGCGGCGUGCCCUAUACAUGCAAGUCGAGUGGGUUUAGACCCACGGCAAACGGGUGAGUAACACGUAGGUACUUUCCUUGUCACAGGAAUAACCCUCCGAAAGGAGGGCUAAUACCUGAUGUGAUCGCAAGAUUAAAGGGUAUCCGCAAGGAUUACCGGACAAGAAGAGGCCUGCGGCCUAUCAGCUAGUUGGCGGGGUAAAUGCCCACCAAGGCUAUGACGGGUAGCUGGUCUUAUGAGGAUGAUCAGUCACAUGGGCACUGAGACACGGGCCCAACUCCUACGGGAGGCAGCAGUAGGGAAUUUUGCGCAAUGGGCGAAAGCCUGACGCAGCGACGCCGCGUGCGGGAUGAAGGCCUUCGGGUCGUAAACCGCUUUUAUAAGGGACGAACUUUGACGGUACCUUAUGAAUAAGGGGUUGCUAACUCUGUG
rnacentral:rRNA from 1 species